rnacentral:tRNA from 1 species
GCCUGGGUGGCUCAAUCGGUUGAGCAUCUGACUUCGGCUCAGGUCACAUCUCACUGUCCGUGAGUUCGAGCCCCGCGUCGGGCU